rnacentral:rRNA from 1 species
CAGACGACUGGGUUGAUAGGCCGGAUGUGGAAGCAAGGACUAACGACUUGUGCAGCUGACCGGUACUAAUAAGCCGAUAACUUGACAAUCAC